rnacentral:lncRNA from 1 species
UCUUGCUAUUGGUGAUUUAGCGUAAAAGUACACAUUGUAAUCAUAUAGUUUCAUGAAAAUUUGUUUACUCGCCAGCAUUAUCAGCAUUAUCAGCAAAAUAGUGUUUUCUUUGCCCGUUUAUCUCUUAUUUGCCAAAAUAACAAAUUUGUGAUCAACAAGUUCUUGUAAAGACGAACAAAUCAUUGCACUUUUGAACAUAUACAUUCUUAUUGACUGUGUUUUUUUUUUGUUUUGUUUUGUGUCGAAUCGUUCGCUUCUUAUUCUUUUCAUAUACAUUGUGCUAAUGUUAAUAAUAAGGAAUGUGACAUUCAUGGAUGCUGUAGUUGAUAUAGCA